AUUGAACGCUGGCGGCAUGCCUUACACAUGCAAGUCGAACGGCAGCACGGGAGCUUGCUCCUGGUGGCGAGUGGCGAACGGGUGAGUAAUACAUCGGAACGUACCCUGAAGUGGGGGAUAACGUAGCGAAAGUUACGCUAAUACCGCAUAUUCUGUGAGCAGGAAAGAGGGGGAUCGCAAGACCUCUUGCUUUAGGAGCGGCCGAUGUCGGAUUAGCUAGUUGGUGAGGUAAAGGCUCACCAAGGCGACGAUCCGUAGCGGGUCUGAGAGGAUGAUCCGCCACACUGGGACUGAGACACGGCCCAGACUCCUACGGGAGGCAGCAGUGGGAAUUUUGGACAAUGGGCGCAAGCCUGAUCCAGCCAUGCCGCGUGAGUGAAGAAGGCCUUCGGUU
rnacentral:rRNA from 1 species